UCCCUGGAGGUCCAGUGGCUAAGACUCUGCACUCUCAGUGCUAGGGGUCCUGGGUUCAAUCCCUGGUCAGGGAA
rfam:Ovis aries breed Texel chromosome 3, whole genome shotgun sequence.